GACGAACGCUGGCGGCGUGCCUAAUACAUGCAAGUCGAGCGGAUUGAUGGGAGCUUGCUCCCUGAUAUCAGCGGCGGACGGGUGAGUAACACGUGGGCAACCUGCCUAUAAGACUGGGAUAACUUCGGGAAACCGGAGCUAAUACCGGAUCAUUCCUUUCCUCACAUGGGGGAAGGCCAAAAGAUGGUUUACGCUAUCACUUAUAGAUGGGCCCGCGGCGCAUAGCUAGUUGGUGAGGUAAUGGCUCACCAAAGGCAACGAUGCGUAGCCGACCUGAGAGGGUGAUCGGCCACACUGGGACUGAGACACGGCCCAGACUCCUACGGGAGGCAGCAGUAGGGAAUCUUCCGCAAUGGACGAAAGUCUGACGGAGCAACGCCGCGU
rnacentral:rRNA from 1 species